rnacentral:ncRNA from 1 species
UGAGAAAAAGCCAAACCCGUCGUGAGGCGGGGACGGAAAGCCAACGGAUCUUUAAUUUAAAGAUGGCCGGGUUGCCUCCA